AAAACGGCUCUUCUAAGAGCCACCCACAUUUUCUAAGAAAAAGAG
rfam:Danio rerio chromosome 25 genomic contig CTG2378, GRCz11 reference primary assembly.